rnacentral:misc_RNA from 1 species
GGAAGCAAAAGUCGUAACAAGGUCUCCGUUGGUGAACCAGCGGAGGGAUCAUUACAGGGCUCGCAAGACUCCUACAACCCUGUGAACUUAACUAUAAGCACGUUGCUUCGGCGGGUGUCUCGGAGGGGGUUCUCCCUCCCCGAGACGCUAAACCCGCCGGCAGCCUACUAUACUCUGUCUCUUUGCGUUGGCAUCUCGAGUACAAUCAAACAAGUUAAAACUUUCAACAACGGAUCUCUUGGUUCUG